GACGAACGCUGGCAGCGUGCUUAACACAUGCAAGUCGAACGGAAAGGCCCUGCUUUUGUGGGGUGCUCGAGUGGCGAACGGGUGAGUAACACGUGAGUAACCUGCCCUUGACUUUGGGAUAACUUCAGGAAACUGGGGCUAAUACCGGAUAGGAGCUCCUGCUGCAUGGUGGGGGUUGGAAAGUUUCGGCGGUUGGGGAUGGACUCGCGGCUUAUCAGCUUGUUGGUGGGGUAGUGGCUUACCAAGGCUUUGACGGGUAGCCGGACUGAGAGGGUGACCGGCCACAUUGGGACUGAGAUACGGCCCAGACUCCUACGGGAGGCAGCAGUGGGGAAUAUUGCACAAUGGGCGGAAGCCUGAUGCAGCAACGCCGCGUGCGGGAUGACGGCCUUCGGGUUGUAAACCGCUUUCGCCUGUGACGAAGCGUGAGUGACGGUAAUGGGUAAAGAAGCACCGGCUAACUACGUG
rnacentral:rRNA from 1 species